GAAGGCAGCAGUAGUCCCUGUUUGAUUUGAAAUAGUUUAGUAUUAUGCAGCCGGUUGUCGGUGGUUUAGAGCGGCCAGAGGCACAGCCGAGUCUUGAAAAGAUUUCCAGCCUCUGCCUCUUAAGGGAUGCGGCGAUGGCCAGAAAUAAAUGAUGAUACGCGCUGAAGGAUCCUUUGUUUGCGCGGCAGGAGGAGGCAGCGGUGAGAGGGCCUGUGUUUUCCUCCUUUGAUUGACAGCAGAUUGCUGGAUGGGUUCGAAUUACACACAGGGCCAAUUAGAUGCUAUCUUUCUGCAGUACAGAGACCAAAAAAAAGAUAUUUCUUUCAUCCUCGGGGAAAACGUUGACUGAAUAUCGUAACGGACGCAAGUGGAAUGAUCAUGUGCAAUACAGAGGCAAAAAAAAAUGGAAACCUGAAAUAAAAACCGAAAAUGCUGGAAAUGUUCAGAGAUAGCAGGAACUGCAGAUGCUGGAGAAUCUGAGAUAACAAGGUAUAGAGCUGGAUGAACACAGCAGGCCAAGCAGCAUCAUAGGAGCAGGAAGGCUGACGUUUCGGGCCGAGACCCUUCUUCAGAAAAAUGUUUUGGGUCCGUGAUCUUUCGUAAGAACUAAUGCGUCUUCUAAUAGUGCUCUCUCAUGCUCAAACACAUGCAACGAACCAAUGAAUCUAAUUCGACAUUGUUCUUCCGUUAUUCAGAGGCCAAAAAUUUUCAUCCUCGGGGAAAAUGUUGACUAAAUAUUGAAAUUGAUGCAAGUGAAAUGAUCGUGUGUAAUACUUAAAACAAAAAAGGAAGCCUGAAUUAGUUUGUUGUUCAGCGUUUUUGUUUUAACAAACUGCAGAUUCUAAUAAAAAAGUGACUUAAAGUUUAAUUAAAUCAUAUAUUGUUGCAAGCCCAAAUUGUGGUUUGCUGUGUGAAACAAAGAGCUGUGUGUAGGACGAUCAAUUACUCAUCCAAACUGAACGAAAAUCGAAUCUUUAGAUUUUCCCAGUUCCGACGGAAGUCAUUGACCUGAAAGUUCUUUGCUUCUCUCUCUGUAGGUGCUGUCAAACCCCCAAGUCUUUUCAACAUUUUGUUUUUAUUUCUACAUUUUUAGAAUUCGAUUUGGGUGAUGGAAAAAAACACCAGUUUGCCAGUAGCAAUUAUAAAUCAUGUAAUGAAUUAAACAGGACCCAAGUGUUUCAUUCUCUGCUUAUGUGUUUUUGAACUUAAGACAAAAUAACUUCCAAUUUUUGCAUGUGCCUGGGCCAUUGCGACCAACCACUUCUGGUCUGCUGCUUCUGAUUCAGCAACUGUCAUUCACAUCUUUGGACUGACUUUGUUUCUUCAUUUAUUCUAUUCCUUUUUAUCUUGCAUCAUCACUUUUGUCAUUUAAUCUUUCCUGCCUUCAUGGACCUUCCCUUUUGUUCUUGCUUCUUUCCCUGCUGGUUUAAAAUUCAGUUCCUCUCUAACUUUCUCCAAUGACAAAUCAAAGACCUGGCCGUUAGCCUGCUGCCAGACUUGUCGAGUAUUUCCAGUUUGUUUUUAAUAGUUGAUACUUUUUAACAUUUCAUAUUUCAAACAUAAGUAAUAUUUUGCUUUUGUGGACGUGUAACGGACUCCUUCCAAAAGUUAUCUGGUUGGAACAAGUUGCUCACAAUUGUAAUUUUCCAAGAAAAAUGCUAGUUAAUACAGGCAUUAAUAAACUCGUGUUGUGAAUGCAAUUUUUUCCUAUUAAGUGAUGGGGUUGAAUCAGGCUUUUUUAUAAGGUCUUGCUCAUUUGCUUGCUCAGGCUCUUAAAACAAAACUGUUUAUUUGUUCAUCACCGGACGCAGUAAUCCCCAAGUGAUUGGGAAGCGGCGGAAGAGGAGGCGAUCGAUCGGCACGAAGUUGAAACCGAAAGAUUUACGGAGGCCCCAUCACAGCUCAUGUGAAACGCAACAUGUGACCCCUUUAGAGGAACAGCGGACGGCCCAGAUUGUGGAGUAUACUCGACGGACGUUCAAAUCUUAAGAAAGAGCUGAGAAACGCUGCCUUGUUUGUAUUUCACACAUUGUUUGUCGUCACUGUUUCAAUCGAGACGAGCAAGGGGAAUAAAAUAAACGGAAGUUCGGCACCAUGCGGUCUAUCCCAAAAUCCCCUGCUCUUUAAAACCACAAAAGAGCUUCGGAGUGAGAGAGAUGCACAUUGUGAUCUCGACCGUGGCAGCCAGAGAGCCGCGCCCCCAUUCCGAUGCUUAUCCCCGGUUUCGGGAACUUGGCUUUCAUGGGGGCCAGACGCUGCAAGCGGCAGUACGGAAGAAGAAACAAACAAGACACUGGUCGGAAACGGGGACCUCGAAAUUCAACAUAAUAAAAAAAAACUUUAAAAUUAAUUAAACAUUCUUCUGAGAAAAA